UUGGAGGGCAAGUCUGGUGCCAGCAGCCGCGGUAAUUCCAGCUCCAAUAGCGUAUAUUAAAGUUGUUGCAGUUAAAAAGCUCGUAGUUGAAUUUCGGGAUCAAAUUGUCGGUCGUGCCUCGGUACGCACUGGUAUUAUUGGUUCCUACCUUCUGAAGAACCGCGAUGUCAUUAAUUUGGUGUCGUGGGGAAUCAGGACUGUUACUUUGAAAAAAUUAGAGUGUUUAAAGCAGGCUUACGCUUGAAUACAUUAGCAUGGAAUAAUGAAAUAGGACGUUUGAUUCUAUUUUGUUGGUUUCUAGGAUUGACGUAAUGAUUAAUAGGGAUAGUUGGGGGCAUUAGUAUUCAAUUGUCAGAGGUGAAAUUCUUGGAUUUAUUGAAGACUAACUACUGCGAAAGCAUUUGCCAAGGAUGUUUUCAUUAAUCAAGAACGAAAGUUAGGGGAUCGAAGACGAUCAGAUACCGUCGUAGUCUUAACCUUAAACUAUGCCGACUAGGGAUCGGAUGAUGUUAAUUUUUUAAUGACUCGUUCGGCGCCUUACGGGAAAC
rnacentral:rRNA from 1 species